GACGAACGCUGGCGGCGUGCUUAACACAUGCAAGUCGAACGGAAAGGCCCUGCUUGCAGGGUACUCGAGUGGCGAACGGGUGAGUAACACGUGGGUGAUCUGCCCUGCACUUCGGGAUAAGCUUGGGAAACUGGGUCUAAUACCGGAUAGGAGCCAUCUUUAGUGUGGUGGUUGGAAAGUUUUUUCGGUGUAGGAUGAGCUCGCGGCCUAUCAGCUUGUUGGUGGGGUAAUGGCCUACCAAGGCGGCGACGGGUAGCCGGCCUGAGAGGGUGUACGGCCACAUUGUGGCUGAGAGACGGCCCAGACUCCUACGGGAGGCAGCAGUGGGGAAUAUUGCACAAUGGGCGCAAGCCUGAUGCAGCGACGCCGCGUGGGGGAUGAAGGCCUUCGGGUUGUAAACUCCUUUCGCUAGGGACGAAGCUUUGUUGUGACGGUACCUAGAGAAGAAGCACCGGCUAACUACGUG
rnacentral:rRNA from 1 species